UACCGCUGUGUGAGGGUGCCCAAGUC
rnacentral:piRNA from 1 species